AGCAUACUCAAUGUGACAAUGAUGAGGAUGAAGACUUUUAUGACGAUCCACUUCCACUUAAUAAACAAUGAAAACAGCAUGUACCUGACUUAUCUAAAGACCUGGAUGAGUUAAGAAGUGGACUCAGGACUUAAAGACAGAUGUUUUGAAUUCAGAGUUCUUUCUCCAGCAAAAGAGAACCUGCAAGUGUAUGUUAAGAAACACUUUGGAGAAAUAAUAGCUCUUCGAGAAAUAACAAAAAAUGGGAGGGACACAAGUAUACUUGAGUCAGUUUCCGUACUAAUGUUCAAAAAGAUGAACUGGUAUGUAAUGAAAUUAAGCAUCUGAAACUGGGAAGUUUGAUGUUAAAUCCUUCUAAAACUCAAAAAGCACAGGUAAAUACUUGCUUGGAGGGCAUUAGAAAAGAAUGUUCAAGCAAAAUUUCCUAAUGCUGGUGAAAUAUAAGUAUAAUAUAACAUAAACUCAA